CCUGUGUGCACACAGGACACAUGACCCCUGAACCCUAACCUUUAAGAUGUGUCAUGAGGGAGAGGGUGGUGUGGGAUUUGAUUGGAAGUCAAAUAUGGGGAGCGUCAACAUUGCUUGACUGGCCAAUUUUGGGAGGGAACUGCUCAAGGUGUCAAGAAGGAAAGACUAAACCGAGUGAGGGGAAAUGAAAUUAACGAAGUGAAACGCGUUGGUAGUACAAUUUAAGCUCCAUUCCCUCCUUUUUCUUUCGUUUACUUUUGCUUCCUGACAAAUUUCCCUUCUUUUCUUGUGCGUACGCGAACACACCACUAGGCGGCUGACUUGUCCCACGUUACCCAUCGACCGCUGCUCUGCUGUAUCCGGGUAAGAGGAGGCAAACGCAGAGCAGGGACCUUAAUUGAUUGGGUCAAGGUUUGGAUGUCAACAGUGAGACGACGUUUUAAUCCCGCGCUCGCUGAGAGAUGAACGCGUGAGACGAGUAUCUGAAGGCUUUUCUCAUUGAUGUGGAGCUUCCGCCUCCUCCCCCAUCUCCUCCUCCCUUACAGUUUGAAGUUGGAGGAGGAAAAAGGUUUGACUAAACUCCAGAGAGUGUGUGAGGAAGGGUGAGGAGGGGAGGGGAAAGUAAGCCACGGAAUAAAGACAAAGAAGUUAAUUUGAAGUCAUUGUUGCUCCGUAUUAGAGGCGUGAGGCGCUUCUUUAGCGAGAAGCAUGACUAAAAAAAAGUUCAGGGGUAGACAGAGGAGGAGGAAGGGGACAUAUAUAGAGAAAAAGAGACUGCUCUUAUGAUGAGUCGAGGCACGUAUCUCCGCUCAACCGUGUCUUUCUGGGCUCGGAGCUCGCAGCUGCGGCGGCGGGUAUUGAAUUCAGAUGCGGCCUGUCUCUCCGCUCCGGUCGCUACAGGUGGAAAUGCUCUUAUCAAUACGGACUGUCCGAGCCUGACUGCGGGCCGAUCCGUCUCAUUGAUGAUUUUUAGGUGCCCCUGCCCUCCCUCUCCUCCCCGAGGAGCCCAUUGAUUAAUGUCUGGGUCACACUGGUAUUUCCAUAUUGAUACCUCGAUUGAUGACGACGCCCCAGGAACAAGCCGUAUUGACCAGCUGGAAAGUGAUACGUUUCAAACUGUUUGGGGGAUGUAUUUAUGCAUAAUGACUAUAAUGGUUAGAUACAGGUGGAGGUGGAUUAUUCUUAAAUGGGUUGCAUAAACCAAUCACUGUUACAUUAUCAUAAUUUAAUGUCUUUAUUUCGAACAAAUAUUCUUUAUUACUGGUUGGAAAUGUAGCCUAUUGAUCACCAGACAAAGGUAAUAUUACAGUAACACAAAUAGGAGGACAGAUAACAUAACAUGUAUAAAUGAAAUCAAAUAGAAAGCACCAUAUCUUCAUAUAAUUGUAGAGUGGAGUGACUGGACCAUCCAAAUAUUCUUUAUUACUGGUUGAAAUUGUGGCCUAUUGAUCACCAGACAAAGGUAAUCUUACAGUAACAUAAGGACGGAUGUGAAAGGUAGUUAAAGCUGGGGAAAGAUGAGUAGAUAUAACGUGUAUAAAUGAAAUCAAAUAGAAAGCAUCAUGUCUUCAUAAUUAUAGAGUGGAGUGAGUAAAAUUUCACCACAGGUUUUACUCAAAUGCACCUUGACGGUGAGGUUCAAACUCUGGAGUCAGCCUCCCUCAGGAUGUGGCAAAUCUGUAAAGCCUGGAAUAAGGUAGUUGACUCAUAACACACACAAAUUGAGGCUUUUUAAAAACGUGCUAUAGGAAACUCCUGCAGAAAUUACCCAUCUGUGUGAGUUCGUAAUAAAGCACAGAGAAAAGCAUUCCUCCUCAAUUCUAUCAGCAGCUUAGUCAUAUGCAGCUUUUGGAAAAGGAUGCAAAGAGAGAGGUCAAAGGAGUUCUGGGGGUCACAAGUUUGGAUCUGAAAAACAAAGUUUAUUAACUCUUGAAAAAGAAACUUUUGUCUUAUAGUUGCAAAAAUGUGCUCAAAUAAUUGUGCAGAAUCAGGCAGAGAACAUAAGGGAUGUGGACUUUAAGCAGCUAAAUAAUUACUGAAUACUGCUUUAGUCACUAACAGCACAUGCAAGUCAGACAAGACUGAAUAGAGCUUAAGUAGUGCUGAAUCAUCCAUACAAAACUUUCUGCUGCAAAGUAAAAAAAAAUACCCAGGAUCUGAAAAGCAAGUUUACCAUAUGGCACAAUAUGAUGGUACAAUAAGAGGUCAAGACAACACUGGACAAGGAAAAACUGUGUCUGCUAAUUGGCAUGCAGCCUAAAGUGAUGUAAAUGUAGUUUUUUAAAACAUUUUUGGGAGGCGUGUACAGAUUUAGUCCAGCUCUGCACUGCUCUGUGAAUAUAUUUCUUUGAUAUUUCCACGCCGUCUUUGUUAAAAGUGUCUAGUUUUUUCUUCAUGAGGUCAAGAGCACACACUGCAUAAUGCAGAACAACUCCACCGAGAGCCCAGACUUGUGAACCCAAUUUUGCAGACACCCUAAUUUAAAGGACAGGGAGACAACAACAUGAUUCUGUGGGACUUGUUCUGCUUGUUGUGGAGAUUACUUCAGAGGCAGAGGGCAUUGUGUGGAGAGGAUAGUCAGUGAGGAAAAAAAUAAAGCAUCAAGCAGAACUGAUACCACUUUACGCUUUUGGGGUCAGUGGUCGAAAUGGGUGCUCGGCCUCCAGGUCCCCAUGACACGGAUCAGGAGCUCCGAUGUAUAUCUGCUGAUUACAUCUCCUGGAGUGGAAAACAUGCAAAUAAUAAAUGUAUGAGCAACGUGCUUGUUUUUUUGCUUGAUUAAUUAUGCCGUUUAAUUCCAGAUCCACCACGCCGCUCCGCCGUAUAAUUUCCCAGUGGUCUUGGCUGUUUCUUCUCUCACAUGCGCUCUCUUUUUUUUUCCUCAUUGCAAAAUGAAUCAUGGAUCCGACCGUCUGUACCCGGGGGAGAGCGGCGAGCUGGCGAAUGGGCUGACCAAUCAUGAGCAUCAGAGGCAGACAUACAGACGGAGGGGGCCUUUUGUUGAACGCUUCACUCAUCAAGUUAGAAGACAACUACCGAUUUGGCCUGAAGGAAAUUAAAAGAUGGAGUAUAAGGAGACAAAAUAACUAACUUCAUCAGUAUUUAUCCGUUUUCUCUCUGUUGUUACAAUAAAUCUUCUCUUUGCACGGCAGCUUAUCCAAUCAGGCCGGUCAGUGUGUGUUUAUCUGAGUGGGUGGCAGACUUUCAGCGCCAUUCAUAAUGUCAAGUGGGACCAUGACUGCUCUUCUAUUCCCAGCCUGGCCAGCCCUCGUUCAGCCUCCUGACAGUUCCAGGUUAGCUCUCUCCCCUCUCUUCCCCGGCCCUCCUCUUUUCUCCCCUCCAGCCUUCCUCUGCAGCUCUCCCAGGGGUCCCACUGAGAAUACUGCUCAGAUCCAGGCCUCUGAGCCCCAAAGCCGGCCCUAAUCCUCCGCAUCGAUCGCCCUGAGAAUUUCCUCCCCAGCACAGCAGGCCCGGCUCCCCGGCGCUCACACUCCUCGACCCUGAACAGGCAGCACUUCUCAGCUAGAGAGGCGGAGAAAAUAGGGUCACACACAUUACCUGUGUCUUCUCAACAGAUGGAUCUAGUUGAUACGAUGUGUGUUAUUAGGUGGUUAUAGCAGAAGGCACGUCCCUCUCGAGAGCGCUUGUGGUGUUGCUGUUCCAAAUUUAGUCGGACUUGGCAGAUAUCAGCUCAAUAAACAUCUCAGUUUUUCUCAAACUGAGCUGUCUACACAGUCUGACUACAAGUUGCAGUCAGAAAGCUGGACUGGAUUGUUUUUCCAAUUUAUUUCUCUCCUUACCAGGGUCAUUGUACCCUCCUGAAUGCUCAGGGUUAGAAAGGUUGCAGGGUAGCUCAAUUUUCAGUAGCUCAGUGUUAUGAGAACUUAUUAGAAAGUGGUGAGAGAAGUAAAAACAGUUUGUUAAAGGCGAUGACUAAAUGGUUAAUUUAGCCCUUUGAUUUAAGGAGUAAUGGCUGGGAUUGACCUGAAGUUCUGGAUAAAGUUUGAAACAGUUGAAACUAGGAAAUGUUAAAAUUGUAAACCAAAAAUAAAGUUUGACAAAAACAGCAACGUGCAAACUUGAACCCAGUUAGUUGGUCACUGGUUUAGAUCUUCGGGCUUCAGUAACGUCAAAAGUAGCCACGUUUACAUGGGCAAAAUUUCUCGAUCGGAUUAAAAAUAUGAGGGAUCGGAUAAUCUGAAUCCACUGUUUAUACGGGUUCAUAAUUAAAUAAUCUGAUCAUGAUGUUUAUGCAUGCACCAAGUUUAAUUCAGAUUAAGGGCAUUUUUUGCUAAAACAACCGCAGAAGAAGAGUUGUAUUUACGCCUGUGCUGUCAACAAAUGCAGUAGUAAAUAAUGCAUCAGAUAUCAUAUAGCACUUCAUUAGAGACCCUCAAAGUGUUUGACCCUGAAUACAUCAUUCAUUGCGCCUAUGGACUCUCCGACCACCAACACACAACACUCAUACACCAGUGGAGGACACACACUGGGAGCAAGGUGGGUUAAGUAUCUUGCCCAAGGAGCAGUCUCCUGAGCUACUGCCACCCAAAGUGGCACACUCCAUCCAACUCAAGAGUUUUCCCCCUGUUAAAUGUUGUCACUAGAUGGCGCCCUUGCGUACUUAUUUUACUGUUCUGUCAAAGGUUGCACUGUGCGUGCAGAUGUGACAUCAUUACGCUGUAUGUACGCCGUGUUAUGUUACCGGAAGAGCAGACACGGCACCUGCGGUUUUGUUUUAAGCCAGAGUGUUAAUAAUGAGACCUCCUGUACCGGCCUCAAUAAAUAAACCCAAGACUAAAGAAUGAAGAUGGAGUCAGGUAAGAGAGUCACGAUCGGAAUUAAGUGUUUAUAUGGACGUUUCGGAAUAACGAUCGGCAUAAACCAGCCCCCUCGAUCGGAAUACAAUUUCUUUCCGAUUGAGCCGAAUUGGAUCAGAAUCUUCCAAAUGACGCAUUUAUUUUUAUUCCGAUCGGGCAUUUAUUCCGACUAUUUAUGCCCAUGUAAACGCAGCUACUUUGAGACAUCUUUAAGAACCAUCAAACUCCAGAUAAUGAUAGUAUACAGCUUUGGUCCAGUCGCCUCUAAGUAGAUGGUGAGAUCACGCUAAAGUUGGUUACAGCGUCAGUGCUAAUGCUAACGCUAACAAACAUACAGAGUAAAAUGAAUCCCCGGUGUUCUCAUUGAAAGGAAGAUCUCGGCGAGUUCACCUGAUAAGCCCGUGGAGUUACAGCAAACUCAAACACCUGUGAACCUCCGCUCUUCUUUGAAGCGCGCUGCUUUGGUUUCACAUAUAAAGCUCAUUGUCGAAACCAGCAGCUCUCUAAGAACCUAAAACGCAGAUCUCCUGGCAUAAAGACAGGCUGUAUCUCCAUCCUCUAUGCUGCUACCGAUGGAGUAAUAGGAGGUGGUGUAGCUGUACAUCUCUGCUCCAACAUGAGAAAGCAUCAUUACUGAAGGCCUCUUGGGAAAGCUCCCAACCAACAGUCUAUCCCGUGUAACAUACUAGUUCAUAAUUUAUUUACGCAGCGAGCUUCCCCUGGACUCUGCUGUGUGUUUUACUGCAAGAGUGGAGGUAUUUGAGCGGUAUCUUCCCAUAUCUCUUUCCACAAGAAGACACAAGAAGUAAGACUGUGUAACCAGAACAAUAUUAGAUGAUUAAACCUCAGACAUUUUAAACACAUUUGCUGUGUGGUUGGCAUGCUAAGUCCAACCCAAUGAUGAAUGUGAGGGAAGAAAUCUGGAACAUUUGGCCCCGUCAAACUGCUGCUCUGCGGACCAGUGAGAGGAUCUCUGUCUAUACUGGCAUUAAGAGCCAGUACAGAUGGUAAUGUAUCAAUACUCCGGUUUAAACAGGGCUCAGAGCCAUGCUCCUAAAUCAACCCCAGGGAUUUUUUUGGCCAAGUCUGUUUCUAGCUCUCCUCGGGUACAUUAACAAACUCGAAAAACUUCUUGUUCCGAGCAUCAUCAUAAUAUUCUGCAGAUCCAUCUUUUAUCUGCGUGUGGAUUUGAAAUUACUGGGGAUGAAUCGCACUAUUUACCCUUCACUUUCUCUGUCUAUCUCCUUCAGCCUCUUUAUACUGUCAUUCAUUAGCUUUUUUCUACCUGAGCUGACAGCACACCUUUAGCCUUUACUCACACAUACACACACAUACACACCCCAUUUCUGCUGCUUCU